CAGCAGCCGCGGGAAUACGGAGGGUGCAAGCGUUAAUCGGAAUUACUGGGCGUAAAGCGCACGCAGGCGGUCUGACAAGUCAGAUGUGAAAUCCCCGGGCUUAACCUGGGAACUGCAUUUGAAACUGUCAGGCUGGAGUCUUGUAGAGGGGGGUAGAAUUCCAGGUGUAGCGGUGAAAUGCGUAGAGAUCUGGAGGAAUACCGGUGGCGAAGGCGGCCCCCUGGACAAAGACUGACGCUCAGGUGCGAAAGCGUGGGGAGCAAACAGGAUUAGAUACCCCUGUAGUCCCUGUCUCUUAUAU
rnacentral:rRNA from 1 species